UGAAUUGACGGACCGACAAGUAUGGACAUUGGUUAAUCCUGAUACGCGAGACCUUCCAACCUGACAUGUCGUCGCGACUCUAGGAUUAGAGUUCGGUCGGCCGGACGAACACAGGUGCUGCAUGGCUGUCGUCAAGCUCGUGUCGUGAGAUGUUGGGUUAGUCCGCACGACGCACCUCACUUUAGUGCCAUCAUUAAGUUGGGCACUCUGAAAGAACUGCCAGCGAUAAGCUGGAGGAAGGUGGGGAUGACGUCAAGUCCUCAUGGCCCUUACGUGUUGGGCUACACACGUGCUACAAUGGCAUCUACAACAGGAAGCAAAACGGCAACGUUAAGCAAAUCCCGAAAAGAUGCCUCAGUUCGGAUUGCACUCUGCAACUCGAGUGCAUGAAGCUGGAAUUACUAGUAAUCGUGGAUCAGCGUGCCACGGUGAAUGCGUUCCCGGGUCUU
rnacentral:rRNA from 1 species